CACGAACGCUGGCGGCAGGCUUAACGCAUGCAAGUCGAGCGCCCCGCAAGGGGAGCGGCAGACGGGUGAGUAACGCGUGGGAAUCUACCCAUCUCUACGGAACAACGCAUGGAAACGUGUGCUAAUACCGUAUACGUCCUUCGGGAGAAAGAUUUAUCGGAGAUGGAUGAGCCCGCGUUGGAUUAGCUAGUUGGUGGGGUAAAGGCCUACCAAGGCGACGAUCCAUAGCUGGUCUGAGAGGAUGAUCAGCCACACUGGGACUGAGACACGGCCCAGACUCCUACGGGAGGCAGCAGUGGGGAAUAUUGGACAAUGGGCGCAAGCCUGAUCCAGCCAUGCCGCGUGAGUGAUGAAGGCCCUAGGGUUGUAAAGCUCUUUCACCAGUGAAGAUAAUGACGGUAACCGGAGAAGAAGCCCCGGCUAACUUCGUGCCAGCCGCCGCCGUAAGAC
rnacentral:rRNA from 1 species